ACCCUGAAAAGAAAGAGAGACAGUAAACUUGUGCGGUAUUCAAGCCAUGCACCUGAAAUCAAUUGGAUAUACCACAUUCAGAAGGAAUGCACAGACUUAUUUGGAGCCAGCAGUGAUCCACAAAUGGCAUCAGCUUCAGGAAGAGGAAUUGCAGUUUCUGAGCCAGAGAAAGGUUAAAAUUGGCGAAAAUAUAUGAGGGCAGACUCACCAGCCACGACAUCCCAGCUUUGCCCAAAUGCCUCCACCCUGUUCGCCGAACAAGAGAUCGUAAAAAGUGGUUUCAGCCAGGUGACCAGUUGUAAAGGCACCAAAGCCCUCUAUAAAGUGGAAAAAAUCCUUACAAACAAGAGGGUCCUGGCUGAUGUGGAAAAGCUGAGCUCAAAGUACCAGACCUCAACACUGAAAGCUUUCCACAGUGUUAUUUUGCGUUUUACUCAAUUUCCCAAAAGCAAAAAAAGGAGCGUCUUCGGUGAAAGCAGUAAAAACACAACCGACACACUUAGUUGCUAUAUCUUCAGCCUGAUGCAUCUCCUCUUUGAAAAGGUAGUCCCUAACCCCCUGCCCUACUUGGAGGAACGUCCGAAGAUUCCUGUGCCCAGUUCCCUAUUGUCCCAACACGAACAUCCACCCUUAGAAGACGCUAUUGCGGCCUAUGUAUCUCGCUUUAGAGUGGAGGAGGUUUAAAUCCAACAUAUUGGCCUUCUGCAUCAGGGAACUCCCUGCGUAUGUGUUGGACCACACAAGAGGAGGGGAUGACAACACGUAUCUUCCUGCCAAGAUAUCCCCAGCACCAGCUUACAAAUGGAAUGUAGGUCAAGUACCUGCAACGGCUGUCAAAAAGCAGAGGACAUUUAG
ensembl:lncRNA